UGUGCCCACCGCCCCCAGGCUCUUUUUCCGCCGGCACUACCCUGUGAGCAGCAUCACCCACUGCGGCACUGACCCCCAGGACCGCAGGUGGAUGAACCCCGACGGGACCGCAGCCAGGAUUUUCGGGUUCGUGGCCAAGCAGGCAGGAGCACCUGGGGGGGGCAACGCAUGUCACAUGUUUGCGGAGCUGGACCCCGAGCAGCCAGCGAGGGCCAUAGUUACCUUCGUCACCAAAGUCCUGCUGGGAACGCGGAACUGAGAGACCCCAGGGACCUCCCCGGGACCCCAGAAACCAUCUGGGGACUACCAAAGUCCCCCGAGGCAGGGAUCCUCAGGGGCACCCUCAAAACCCAGUGGGACUCCCCCCGCAUCUCCACCAAGGUCCUGCUGGGGACACAACCUUGAGGGACCCCCAGAACCCCCUGGGACCUCCAAAAAUGUCUGGGGAUGCCCAAAACCCCCAGUCCACCAUUCCAAGGGGCGGACAGAGGGACACACAUAACCAAACCCCUUGCCAUAAUCAUCACCAUCACCAAGGUCCUGAACACCCCCAAACCCCCCCAAGGCUUCCCCAAAACCAUCCCUGGACCUCCCAAACACUCCUCGACACCCCCGAUUUGGGGAGAGCACAAGGGGAUGCCCAUAAUCACCCUCACCACCAUCUUCAUCACCAAAGUCCUACUGGAUUUCUCCCCAAACUCCCUGCAAGACCCCUCCCCCAACAUCUCAAAAACACUCUCCAGACCCUCCCACCCCCUCUUGGAGGCCCCCCAAAACCUACUGCACCCCCUGAACUGCCCUCUCAAGAGAGGGGGGCUGGUAGAAAAGGGGGCACAGGGACACCCCUGCUAUCUGGGGGUUCCUGGGAGAACCCAAAUAAAUCCAGAUUUAUUUUGGUGUAA